AUUUAGUGAGCACCACAGCACGCCACUGACUGGGCUGGGGCUGGUCAGAGGACGCAUAAGACAUGGCUGUACCAUGGAACGACUGCCACAGAAGCAAAUGGAGCCUGGUCUUCAAAAAUCAGGAACAGAGAGAGCGGACAUGGGCAUCUGUUAUUGGAAGGAGAGUUCAGAGAAGCCCCUGAGGAGAGGAGCAGGCGUUCUGACUGGACACAGGUGAGGGAAGAUUCCACAAGAAAGGAGACCAGUGUGACCACCUGUUAGGGCAGCCCCAGUGCUCCGUGUUCAGAGUUCUCUGCCUUCCCUCUCCUUCCCACGUUUCCAUGAAGAAACCUUGAUUCAAGGAACCUGCUCGCCUAGAGCAGCCAUUUUCAUUCCCAUCCAAGAGAGCCUAACACUGUGGUUUUGAAACAGUUCUCAUUGCAGCUGAGUAAACUGGUUUGGCGAC